GCCCCAUUUGCUUGUUUUUAUGAGUUGUUUCCCUACGGAAACCUUCCUUGAACGCCUUGCAGGUCUUCCAACCGCCUAUGAUAAGUUAAGAUCUAAAAUCGUUUUUCCAUUUUCUUUCCAGGCUCUACCUUGCACUAGCUGUGUCUGAAUAUGGGAAAGACAGAGGAUGUUUUACAUUGGUAUGCGGGUCUGAAAUCCCGAAGUGUCGACCUGGUGGGAGAUUACGCAGGUGAUGAGUUGUUUCUCAUCGAAGGCGACUCGCUGCUUGCCCACACCUUUUCAAACAAGAAGCUAGAUUUUAACCCUGGCUUCCAGCUGCUACAUGCCACCUAUAUUAUCGAGAAUUUUCUGCGCGGAAUUCACCAGCGGAAAUGCACUUUCCAUCUCGUCUUUUUUGAGGACAAUGCAAAGCUAUGCAUCCCACCUAAUAUCCCGGGUAACCUGCAUUCCAGGUACCUUCUGGCCCGAGAAUCUAUUAUCCAGCAUUUCCAGAGCAAUACGGACGGUCGAACUUCGCCUACAAAGGUUAAGGUUUUUGAUUCUUAUUAUGCCAGC
rnacentral:sRNA from 1 species